rnacentral:rRNA from 1 species
ACUCAAAUGAAUUGACGGGGACUCGCACAAGCAGUGGAGCAUGUGGUUUAAUCCGAUACAACGCGUAGAACCUUACCAAGGCUUGACAUGCAACGCAAAAACAAGGAAACUUGUCAGAGGUUAUCGUUGCACAGGUGCUGCAUGGCCGUCGUCAGUUCGUGCCGUGAGGUGUAUGGUUAAGUCCUAUAACGAACGUAACCCUUGUGCUUAGUUGCUAACAUUUAGUUGAGGACUCUAAGCAGACUGCCAGGGUAACCUGGAGGAAGGAAAGGAUGACGUCUGGUCGUCAUGGCCCUUAUGCCUUGGGCGACACACAUGCUACAAUGGUUAAUACAAAGGGUUGCCAACCCGCGAGGGGGAGCUAAUCUCAAAAAAUUAACCUCAGUUCGGAUUGGAGGCUGAAACUCGCCUCCAUGAAGCAGGAAUUGCUAGUAAUCGCAAAUCAGCCAUGUUGCGGUGAAUACGUUCUCGAGUCUUGUACACACCGCCCGU